GCACUUGCCCUGCGGUCACCGCUUAAAUAACGGAGCUGAAUAGCUGAAACCAAAACCAAAACAAAUCCGGAAGAAAGGAAACGGGAGAUGGAACUAAAUGAAGACGUGUGCACUGGGUAUCGGGACCUGGUGAAGCCACAUACAUACAUACGUGGGAGGCUGACUAAUGGAUUCUGUUCCCGGCGGUCGAGAAGGUUCCUUAUGCAUACAGUCGUCGACCCAGGAGGUUGUUAUUCAUACAUACAUAUAUACAUACACAUAACGGUGGGGGUGGACUGUCAUCGCUGACUGGAUAUAGAAAAUAAAAAUAAAUAAUAUGUAAUAAAUGAUUCCCCUGGAGAAGCAGAGUUUAAAACCUCUCAAUAUAGAGCGAUUGUAAUUGUAAGCAUACAUACAAUAAAGAGUGGAAAUU
ensembl:ncRNA lncRNA:CR45401 long non-coding RNA:CR45401